CUGACCUCGAAUCAGGUGGGACUACCCGCUGAACUUAAGCAUAUCAAUAAGCGGAGGAAAAGAAACUAACAAGGAUUCCCCUAGUAACGGCGAGUGAAGUGGGAUGAGCUCAAAUUUAAAAUCUG
rnacentral:rRNA from 1 species